rnacentral:rRNA from 1 species
GUACACGCUGUGACUAGCAUAUCAAUAAGCGGAGGAAAAGAAACUAACAAGGAUUCCCCUAGUAACGGCGAGUGAAGCGGGAAGAGCUCAAAUUUGAAAUCUUAAAGGGUUUCCCUUCACGAAUUGUAGUUUAAAGAAGUGUUUUCUGUUGAGGUUUUGGUAAAAGUUCUUUGGAAUAGGACAUCAUAGAGGGUGAGAAUCCCGUAUUUGACCUUUACUUUCAACUUUGUGAUACACUUUCAAAGAGUCGGAUUGUUUGGGAAUGCAGUCCAAAAUGGGUGGUAAAUUUCAUCUAAAGCUAAAUAUUGGCGAGAGACCGAUAGCGAACAAGUACUGUGAGGGAAAGAUGAAAAGAACUUUGAAAAGAGAGUUAAACAGUACGUGAAAUUGUCAAAAGGGAAGCGUUUGACACCAGUGUUGUUUUUCUGAAAAUCAAUUAAAGAACUGUUUAUGCUAAGUUGUUUAGACUUUAUCAGCUAUCUGCUUAGUUUUGAGCUUUUCUUUAAUGCACUUUUCAGUUAACAAGUCAACAUCAAUUUCUUUUGCUGUAAAAAAGCUUGAGGAAGGUGGCUUGAGAUUCGUCUUAAGUGUUUAUAGCCUCUUGCCUAUGCAGUCGGAGAGAUUGAGGUCUGCAGCGUAGAUCCUUCGGGGCUAAAUGCAUUUGUGCUAAGUUAUAGCAUUUUAUAGACAACUUGUUGACUAUGAUUUGUCUUGUAGCUUACUCGCUUAUGUUAUUUUACCUACGCUUAGGAUGUUGAUAUGCAUGACUGAUAU